rnacentral:rRNA from 1 species
CAGUCGCCGCGGGAAUACGGAGGAUCCAAGCGUUAUCCGGAAUCAUUGGGUUUAAAGGGUCCGUAGGCGGUCUUGUAAGUCAGUGGUGAAAGCCCAUCGCUCAACGGUGGAACGGCCAUUGAUACUGCAGGACUUGAAUUAUUGGGAAGUAACUAGAAUAUGUAGUGUAGCGGUGAAAUGCUUAGAGAUUACAUGGAAUACCAAUUGCGAAGGCAGGUUACUACCAAUUGAUUGACGCUGAUGGACGAAAGCGUGGGUAGCGAACAGGAUUAGAGACCCGCGUAGUCCCUGUCUCUUAUAC